GACGAACGCUGGCGGCGUGCUUAACACAUGCAAGUCGAACGGCAAGGCCCUGCUUUUGUGGGCUGCUCGAGUGCCGAUCGGGUGAGUAACACGUGUUUAACCUGCCCUUGACUUUGGGAUAACUUCAGGAAACUGGGCCUAAUACCGGAUAGGAGCUCCUGUUGCAUUGUGGGGGUUGGAAAGUUUCGGCUGUUGGGGAUGGACUCGCGGCUUAUCAGCUUGCUGGUGGGGUAGUGGCUUACCAAGGCUUUGCGAGGUAGCAGGCCUGAGAGGAGGACCGGCCAAACUGGAACGGAAAUGAGGCACAGACUCAUAAGGGAGGCAGCAGUGGGGAAGAGUGCACAAGGGGCGGAAGGCUGAUGCAGCAAAGCCGCGUGGGGGAUGACGGCCUUGGGGUUGUAAACCGCUUUCGCCUGUGACGAAGAGUGAGUGACGGUAAUGGGUAAAGAAGCACCGGCUAACUACGUG
rnacentral:rRNA from 1 species